UACGGGGGGGGCAAGCGUUGUACGGAAUUACUGGGCGUAAAGGGCUCGUAGGCGGCCAACUAAGUCAGACGUGAAAUCCCCAGGCUUAACCUGGGAACUGCGUCUGAUACUGGAUGGCUUGAAUUCGGGAGAGGGAUGCAGAAUUCCAGGUGUAGCGGUGAAAUGCGUAGAUAUCUGGAGGAAUACCGGUGGCGAAGGCGGCAUCCUGGACCGACAUUGACGCUGAGACGCGAAAGCUAGGGGAGCGAACAGG
rnacentral:rRNA from 1 species